rnacentral:rRNA from 1 species
UCAGCGGCUUUGGCUUUCGUGCGGCUCGUGAUGCUCGGCGUUUCGGCGCCGCGGCACGCGUCCGCUGCGUUAUGACCGAGGCUCGCCGGCGUGCACUUCUCCCUCAGUAGAACGUCGCGACCCGUUGGGUGCCGGCCUACGGCUCGGUUGGUCGACUGACGCACUUCUGCGCGUCAGACCAUCGAUCGCCCGGUCGGCUGCCCGGCGGUAUUGAACGCACUAAUCUAACGGUAUUGGGCCGCAUUCAAUGCGUUCUGGCU